rnacentral:lncRNA from 1 species
CGGUGACAUUUUUGAAAUUAUAUCGACAGUAUAGGCCGUGGUUCUAAGGGGAACCGCUGCCUAUUCCCCCUGCAAAAUUUUGGCAUUCCCCAAAAGCAGUUUUGAAAAAAAAAUUCAGGGGGAUAGACCACAGUUCUAAGGGAACCGCUAUCUAUUCCCCCUGCAAAAAAAAAAAAAAAAUUCAGGGGAAUAGACCGCGGUUCUGAGGGGAACCCCAGUCUAUUCCCC